rnacentral:misc_RNA from 1 species
UCGUAUGAUGGAGGUGCUGGGGUUGUCGCUGACUUUUCAAAGGGUCGUGCACACCUCGGUGCUCUCACACAUAAUCCAUCUCACCCCUUUGUGCAUCACCGCGUGGGGACCCCCUUUUUUUGGCUAGUUCCGAAGGGGGGUUUUCACGUUUUUAUACAAACACCCUUUUAAUGCAAUGUGUAGAAUGUCUUACUUUUUUUGCGGUCAUACGCAAUCAAUA